rnacentral:lncRNA from 1 species
UAUGGACAAUUCUACUAUUUUUAAGUUUUGGUCACAAAAAUAGAACAAAAAUAGAUCACAAAAAGAAAAAGAGAAAAAGACAAAAAUAGCACUAAAUCAAGUUUAUGUUCUCAAACUAGCACUCAAGGUCAAAAGUCACAAAAAUAGCACUUAAUGUUUUAUCAAAAGUCACAAACUUAGGGUUUAGGGUUUAGGGUUUAGGGUUUAGAGUUUAGGGUUUAGGGUUUAGGGUUUAGAGUUUAGGGUUUAGGGUUUAGGGUUUAGAGUUGAGAAAUGAGGUUUUGGGGAUAAGAUUUCAAAUUUUGAAAAAUUAAAAAAUUAAAAUUUUCAAAGGAUAAACUUAGAAAUGUGCUAUUUUGGUCAUUUUAGUUUUUGAGUGCUAUUUUUGUGAUAUAAACUUAAAAAUGUGCUAUUUUGGAGAUUUGCCCAAAGAAAAAUGAUCAAAAUGUUUAAUUUAAUAGGUAAAAUGACACUAAUACCCUAGAUAUAAAAAAAAUUUAAAAAAGAAAAAUUAAUUAAAAAAAUAAAAAAAUAAUUAAAAAAUAAAAAAAAUAAAAUUUUAUUUUUUAAAAAAUAUAGUUUUAGAUUAUAUGUUUUCAAAUUCAAACUUUUUUAUAAAUUUCUUUUUUUUUUUGAAAUUUUUUUCUGAAUUUUUUUUAAUUUUUUUUUCAAUUUUCUUUUUGUAAUUCGAAAAUACUUUUUGAAACUAUUUUCAAAAUUUUUAUUUUCAAAUUUUUA